AGUGAACGCUGGCGAUAGGCCUAACACAUGCAAGUCGAACGGCAGCACAGUAAGAGCUUGCUCUUACGGGUGGCGAGUGGCGGACGGGUGAGGAAUACAUCGGAAUCUACUUUUUCGUGGGGGAUAACGUAGGGAAACUUACGCUAAUACCGCAUACGACCUACGGGUGAAAGCAGGGGAUCUUCGGACCUUGCGCGAUUGAAUGAGCCGAUGUCGGAUUAGCUAGUUGGCGGGGUAAAGGCCCACCAAGGCGACGAUCCGUAGCUGGUCUGAGAGGAUGAGCAGCCACACGGAAACUGAGACACGGUCCAGCCUCCUACGGGGGGCAGGGGGGGGGAAUUUUGGAAAAGGGGCGCAAGCCUGAUCCAGCCAUCCCGGGGGGGUGAAGAAGGCCUUCGGGUUGUAAAGCCCUUUUGUUGGGAAAAAAAAGCAGCAGGUUAAAACCCCGCUUUUCUGACGGUACCAAAAAAAAAAGCACCGGCAAACUUGGG
rnacentral:rRNA from 1 species